GACGAACGCGGCGGCGUGCUUAACACAUGCAAGUCGAACGAAGAGCGAUGGAAGCUUGCUUCUAUCAAUCUUAGUGGCGAACGGGUGAGUAACGCGUAAUCAACCUGCCCUUCAGAGGGGGACAACAGUUGGAAACGACUGCUAAUACCGCAUACGAUCUAACCUCGGCAUCGGGGAAAGAUGAAAGGUGGCCUCUAUGUAUAAGCUAUCACUGAAGGAGGGGAUUGCGUCUGAUUAGCUAGUUGGAGGGGUAACGGCCCACCAAGGCGAUGAUCAGUAGCCGGUCUGAGAGGAUGAACGGCCACAUUGGGACUGAGACACGGCCCAGACUCCUACGGGAGGCAGCAGUGGGGAAUCUUCCGCAAUGGACGAAAGUCUGACGGAGCAACGCCGCGUGAGUGAUGACGGCCUUCGGGUUGUAAAGCUCUGUUAAUCGGGACGAAAGGCC
rnacentral:rRNA from 1 species